ACAAUGAAGAGUUUGAUCCUGGCUCAGGAUGAACGCUAGCUACAGGCUUAACACAUGCAAGUCGAGGGGCAUCAGGAAGAAAGCUUGCUUUCUUUGCUGGCGACCGGCGCACGGGUGAGUAACACGUAUCCAACCUGCCCUUUACUCGGGGAUAGCCUUUCGAAAGAAAGAUUAAUACCCGAUAGCAUAAUGAUUCCGCAUGGUUUCAUUAUUAAAGGAUUCCGGUAAAGGAUGGGGAUGCGUUCCAUUAGGUUGUUGGUGAGGUAACGGCUCACCAAGCCUUCGAUGGAUAGGGGUUCUGAGAGGAAGGUCCCCCACAUUGGAACUGAGACACGGUCCAAACUCCUACGGGAGGCAGCAGUGAGGAAUAUUGGUCAAUGGGCGCUAGCCUGAACCAGCCAAGUAGCGUGAAGGAUGAAGGCUCUAUGGGUCGUAAACUUCUUUUAUAUAAGAAUAAAGUGCAGUAUGUAUACUGUUUUGUAUGUAUUAUAUGAAUAAGGAUCGGCUAACUCCGUGCCAGCAGCCGCGGUAAUACGGAGGAUCCGAGCGUUAUCCGGAUUUAUUGGGUUUAAAGGGAGCGUAGGUGGACUGGUAAGUCAGUUGUGAAAGUUUGCGGCUCAACCGUAAAAUUGCAGUUGAUACUGUCAGUCUUGAGUACAGUAGAGGUGGGCGGAAUUCGUGGUGUAGCGGUGAAAUGCUUAGAUAUCACGAAGAACUCCGAUUGCGAAGGCAGCUCACUGGACUGCAACUGACACUGAUGCUCGAAAGUGUGGGUAUCAAACAGGAUUAGAUACCCUGGUAGUCCACACAGUAAACGAUGAAUACUCGCUGUUUGCGAUAUACAGUAAGCGGCCAAGCGAAAGCAUUAAGUAUUCCACCUGGGGAGUACGCCGGCAACGGUGAAACUCAAAGGAAUUGACGGGGGCCCGCACAAGCGGAGGAACAUGUGGUUUAAUUCGAUGAUACGCGAGGAACCUUACCCGGGCUUAAAUUGCAGUGGAAUGAUGUGGAAACAUGUCAGUGAGCAAUCACCGCUGUGAAGGUGCUGCAUGGUUGUCGUCAGCUCGUGCCGUGAGGUGUCGGCUUAAGUGCCAUAACGAGCGCAACCCUUAUCUUCAGUUACUAACAGGUCAUGCUGAGGACUCUGGAGAGACUGCCGUCGUAAGAUGUGAGGAAGGUGGGGAUGACGUCAAAUCAGCACGGCCCUUACGUCCGGGGCUACACACGUGUUACAAUGGGGGGUACAGAAGGCAGCUAGCGGGUGACCGUAUGCUAAUCCCAAAAUCCUCUCUCAGUUCGGAUCGAAGUCUGCAACCCGACUUCGUGAAGCUGGAUUCGCUAGUAAUCGCGCAUCAGCCACGGCGCGGUGAAUACGUUCCCGGGCCUUGUACACACCGCCCGUCAAGCCAUGGGAGCCGGGGGUACCUGAAGUACGUAACCGCAAGGAUCGUCCUAGGGUAAAACUGGUGACUGGGGCUAAGUCGUAACAAGGUAGCCGUACCGGAAGGUGCGGCUGGAACACCUCCUUU
rnacentral:rRNA from 1 species